UACGGGGGGCGCAAGCGUUGUUCGGAUUUACUGGGCGUAAAGGGCGCGUAGGCGGCGCAACAAGUCACUUGUGAAAUCUCCGGGCUUAACCCGGAGCGGCCAAGUGAUACUGUCGUGCUAGAGUGCGGAAGGGGCUACUGGAAUUCUCGGUGUAGCGGUGAAAUGCGUAGAUAUCGAGAGGAACACCUGCGGCGAAGGCGGGUAGCUGGGCCGACACUGACGCUGAGGCGCGAAAGCCAGGGGAGCGAACCGG
rnacentral:rRNA from 1 species